rnacentral:rRNA from 1 species
ACGCUGGCGGCGUGCUUAACACAUGCAAGUCGAACGAAGAGCGAUGGAAGCUUGCUUCUAUCAAUCUUAGUGGCGAACGGGUGAGUAACGCGUAAUCAACCUGCCCUUCAGAGGGGGACAACAGUUGGAAACGACUGCUAAUACCGCAUACGAUCUAACCUCGGCAUCGAGGAUAGAUGAAAGGUGGCCUCUAUUUAUAAGCUAUCACUGAAGGAGGGGAUUGCGUCUGAUUAGCUAGUUGGAGGGGUAACGGCCCACCAAGGCGAUGAUCAGUAGCCGGUCUGAGAGGAUGAACGGCCACAUUGGGACUGAGACACGGCCCAGACCCCUACGGGAGGCAGCAGUGGGGAAUCUUCCGCAAUGGACGAAAGUCUGACGGAGCAACGCCGCGUGAGUGAUGACGGCCUUCGGGUUGUAAAGCUCUGUUAAUCGGGACGAAAGGCCUUCUUGCGAAUAGUUAGAAGGAUUGACGGUACCGGAAUAGAAAGCCACGGCUAACUACGUGCCAGCAGCCGCGGUAAUACGUAGGUGGCAAGCGUUGUCCGGAAUUAUUGGGCGUAAAGCGCGCGCAGGCGGAUUGGUCAGUCUGUCUUAAAAGUUCGGGGCUUAACCCCGUGAUGGGAUGGAAACUGCCAAUCUAGAGUAUCGGAGAGGAAAGUGGAAUUCCUAGUGUAGCGGUGAAAUGCGUAGAUAUUAGGAAGAACACCAGUGGCGAAGGCGACUUUCUGGACGAAAACUGACGCUGAGGCGCGAAAGCCAGGGGAGCGAACGGGAUUAGAUACCCCGGUAGUCCUGGCCGUAAACGAUGGGUACUAGGUGUAGGAGGUAUCGACCCCUUCUGUGCCGGAGUUAACGCAAUAAGUACCCCGCCUGGGGAGUACGACCGCAAGGUUGAAACUCAAAGGAAUUGACGGGGGCC